rnacentral:rRNA from 1 species
GGAGGGUGCUAGCGUUGUUCGGAAUCACUGGGCGUAAAGCGCGUGUAGGAGGCCCACUAAGUCUGAUGUGAAAGCCCGGGGCUCACCCCCGGAAGUGCAUUGGAAACUGGUGGACUCGAGUCCCGGAGAGGAGGGUGGAAUUCCUGGUGUAGCGGUGAAAUGCGUAGAUAUCAGGAGGAACACCGGUGGCGAAGGCGGAUCUCUGGGCCUUACCUGACGCUCAGGCACGAAAGCUAGGGGAGCGAACAGGAUUAGAUACCCUGGUAGUCCUAGCCGUAAACGUUGGGUGCUAGGUGUGGGCGGAUAUCGACCCCGUCCGUGCCGAAGCUAACGCAUUAAGCACCCCGCCUGGGGAGUACGGCCGCAAGGCUA